AAGUUUUUAUUCAACGUAAUAUUAUCAACAGGUUCAGAUAAGAAUAUAAGUUUUUCUCAUGGGAGAAACUCCAUCUGAGUCUCUAAUUAAAUAACUUUUGUAUAGUUCCUUUUCUUCUCUGCACAAAAGAUCUUUUUUCUGUCCAUUCUUGCCCUCCUUCUUUCUUUGUUGAUACUAUUUACUCCCAAGCCUGCCUCUGAACUCUGUCUAAUUAGCUCUUGAUAGAUCUGCUGCCCUGUUUCCACAAACAUUUAAUUCUGCCGUCAGUCCCAUUUACAUUACAGCAUGUUGCAUUGUCUUUUACCAGCCUAAUUUUGUUUGAGUGAAUGUAAAUCCCAUUAAGCAGUCACCUAUUAGACUAUGGCAUAUAAACUCCAAAAGCCUCUUUAUUACAAGAGUGAACAUAAGGCCCAAUUGAUAAAAGAUUUCUGGGGCAUUUCCAUUUGUGGUGUACUUCAAAUAUUCUGUCUGCUUUAAACUUAGCUCAUGUUUUUGAAGUAUUUGACAGACUAUUUGAGUAUCUUUUUGCCUGUGUAUUCCAUAGCAUGAAAUACAUAACCAUCAUUUGCUUGUUGUCUUUAGAAGUUUACUUAUACCUAAACAUAAGUUAAAUAUGUAUUUCUUCCUCUUUAGUUAUUUUAUUUUUCCUUUGUAACCUGACCACAUUAUUUUUGAGCACUGCAUAAAGGUGUUUACAAAUAACAGGAUGGCUGGCAGAAUCUUCUCGGAAAAGCUCUUUAUGAAUACUAAAUAAUUGUCCAGAAGUUCAGUAAGCCUCAGUGUUUUAAGCUGAACUUUCUGGAGAGAGGUAAGACAUAGCAUCUUGACAGGCAGCCCUUCAAAUGGCAAGUAGCUAUGGGCAUCAGAGACAGACAGGUUUCUCUUAUAACCUUAAUGUAAUUUGAUAGCUCAAAACGAAUAAAAACAAGAUGUAAGAUAUCAUUAGAAGCCUUGGAAAGACCAGGUGGUCUGAUAUUUACAUCAAUAUGAUCAAUAUACUCAAUCAGAUUAGUGCCAGGUACCAGUUUUAAAUGAAGGCUCAGUUAUAGACUUUCGCCAAAACAGAGAUAAUCAUUCAGCACUAUGGUCACAUAAUCACGUGGUUGAAGGUAAGGGUGAGAAUGGCUCUCUUUCCAUUUCCUCCUGGUAAUUAACUCAGAAAGACAUCCAUGAAGUGCAAACCCUCACACACAAAAUUAUUUCUCACCCCUGCAGGCUUGUCAAAGCCAAUAUUUCAGAAAAGCACAGGUUGCUGAAGGGGACUGUGAUUUUUUUUUUUUUUGCCUGCUGUGAGUCCCUAAGGACAACAAACAUUCUAAGAGAGACUGUAGCCAAAAUUGCUAAUAACUUCACACAGUUCUUUUGCCAUAAUGACAAAAUUCAAGGGAAGACUGAAUAGAGUAGUGGGUUAGGUGGUAAGCCAGUUAUUUGAGCAGGAAUGAAAAUAUAUAUGGUCCCAAAUGCUAGUUACGAAGUCAACCUGGAUUAAAAAUCUAAAAAAUGAUUAUGACAAAUAUAUGGAAUGCAAAGUCAAUAACAGAUAUUCAGUUUGUUAAAAAUGAGGACUUACAAUAUUUUAAGAGGAGGAAAAAUUAUAAAAAAAUUGAGCAUCAAAAAUUGAUUUAUAAAGUAAGAAUUUGCAUCAAUACCUAGCCAUACCUACAAUAUACAGCUUGGUAUUCGAGUAGAAUAGAUUUUAUAUAACUCUAGACUCUCUAAUAUUCAGGCUCAAAAAUACCCAGUAAUAGAUAUCAAAACAAAUUUCUUGGAUGAUAGGCCCCUUAUUUCUUUCUACAUAUGUUUUGAUUUGGGUCAAUGGCUUGGCUAGAUAUUAUAUGUAUGAUUUGACAUGAUUGUUUAUCUUUCUGUCCUUUACAUAGCAUUAAGGACAUUUAUUCGACACAGAUAUAGUCAAAUGUCAUAAUGGGCAACAUGAGUUACACGUUGGCUCCCUUGAGUGUCUCCUCAUAAUCACUUCAAAUCUUACUGAGACCGAGAUUUCAAAGCAAGAGGUACAUAUUAAUUCAGGGUUACUUGUUAACAAAACAGGCAGCUAACUACUAUUACAUUGGUUCUUACGGUUUACUGAAGCAUUAAACAUUAACAUUAUUAUUAUGAAAUACAACCAAUAUCAGAAGGAAAUUAUUUUUUAAAACAGUACAAAUAUUUUAAGUGGGCCUACAAGAAACCUUAGUGAUUCAUAAUAAGUAUAUUGAACGAAUUUGAAAUUCAGUGAACACAUCAAAGUUUCUAGACCCACAUAAGUUUCUGUACUACCCAUAACAUUUAUAAAAGCAACUUCAGUAACUUUUUCAAAAAGGUAUCUCUGUGUUAUAUCUGGACACAAUACAUAUAAAAUAUAAAUAUAGAUGGGUUGCAUAACCUCUCUGAGCCUCAGUUUUCUCUUUUACAAUGGAGAAAAUGCAUAUUAAAGUUGUUCAGAUUAAAUGAGAUGAUUACAUAAGUGCUGACUUUUUUUUUUUUUUUUUUUUUUUUUUGACACAGAGUCUCGCUUUGUUACCUAGCUGGAGUGCAAUGGGGCAAUCUCGACUCACUGCAGCCUUGACCUCCUGAGUUCACACAAUCCUCCUGCCUCAGCUCCCCAAGUAGCUGGGACUAUAGGCGGGUGGCACCAUGAGGGUUAAUUUUUUUUUUUUUUUUUUUUUUUGUAGAGACGGGAUUUCCGCCAUGUUGCCCACGCUGUUCCCCAACUUCUGAACUCAAGCGAUCCGCCAGCCUCUGCCUCCCAAAGUACUGGGAUUACGGGCGUGAGCCACCGUGCACAGCCAGUGACUUCUUAAUAUAUAUCCUAAAGCGCAAGAGGCACUGGAUAUUUGUGGAGUCUUGAUAACCACCAGGGAGGGGCCCAAGGUAGGAGAGAACAAUUGUUCUGAGAGACAAGUAACCAUAAACAACGCGCUGACACAACGACCUUGCUCCACAGGUAGCCCAAAUGGCACAACCUCGAUCAGCAUGUAGCCCCCUCCAGAAGACCUUAUAAAACUUCCCUCCAGCCCCUGCCUCUUUGCAGACAGCCCCUUCUCUGUAGUGCUACAUAUUGCACCCUUGCAAUGAAUUUUCAUACUUUCUCUAAUAAAUGUGCCUUUAUUUUUCUCCCCCUACAACUGUCUUGGUAAAUUCCUUUACCACCGGCAACACCAGCCCCAGCCAGUCACACUUGUAAGAGUACUCAGCAGUGAGCAACACUUAUUUUUCACAGAGCUAUAGGUGAGAAGACAGACAGAAACCCAUAUGUAAGUAUAACUUUUGAUAAUUUUUGUCACAAACAGUAGUAGCCAUAGUUUUGCCUCUCAAAUAUGCUUUUUGUUCACCUUUCUAUUAACAUAAUUUUUUAUGUUUUAAAAUGAAUCUGCUCCAAAAGAUUCUUGUGAACUGAUCCCUCUGCCUACUCCAAACAGGGGGUAACCUAACAGGCUUCAUCGCUAGUCAAUGAGAUGACCUUAUUUCCCUAUCAAUAGUGAUAGGAGGUAUCCAGUAAGAGGCGUGCUCUUUGCAAUAAAAACACAACUAUGGAUAUAAUAUGAAAAAAAAUAACUGCUUUGAACCUUUUCUGUCACAAUUCCAGAAAAGACUGCCUAAGAAUUAGGCCAAUAAAAAAGAACGACAUUAUGUCCUUUGCAGGGACAUGGAUGGAGUUGGAAGCCAUUAUCCUGAGCAAACUAACAUGAAAUACUUAACAUGUUUUCACUUAUAAGUGGGAGUUAAAUGAUGAAAACACACGGACACAUAGAGGGCAACAACACGCACUGGGGCCUUUUGGAGGGUGGAGCAUGGAAGGAGGGAGAGGAUCAGUAAAAACACCUAAUGGGCACGAGGCUUAAUACCUGGGCUAUGAAAUAAUCUGUACAACAGACCUCCGUUACAAAAGUUUACCUGUGUAACAAACCUACACUUGUACCCCAGAACUUAAAAUAAAUGUUAGAAAAAGAAAAGGAAUGAGAUGAGAAGAGAGAAAAUCAGAGUUGAGAUUUUAAGAUAGUAAGAGUGUCCUGCUGACAUGAGACAUGGUUUCAGCCCUGGAUCUAUCUGUGCUUAAGGCCUAAUAUGCUCCUGGACUUUCAUUUUGUGAGUCAAGAAAAUCCCUUUGCUUGUGCUAGUUUAGACUAGGUUUCAGUGUCCACAAUGCUAAUACCGCGAGGCACACGGGACAAUGGCAAAAGGAGAAUAGGUUAGUGUUUCAAGGAGAGAAAAUAUUACGAGGGCUCUAUCUAAGGAAAAUGUUAGUGUGCUUGAGGAACCACGAACAUACUAUUAACAUCACUGUCACUACUACUGAGACAGCCAAGUAAAAAGGGCUCCCUGGCAGAAGCUCCCACAGGCCUGAGCACUGGGAGGAAUGCGCACUGGGGUGGAGCCUCAGGAAGUUCACGCCUUUUGCAGUGGGGAGGAGCCUGGCCUCUCCUGUUGCAGCAUAGUAACCUGGAAUUCAGUGUGCGAGGUGGAAAACUGGCUAGCCGGCUUCUCGCUUUGCUGAUAGUCCUUCUUUCCCUUUUCAUCCAAUAAACCCUGUCCUGGUCACCCUUCAAAGUGUCUGUGAGCCUAAUUUGUCAUGGUUGUGUGACGAGAACCCCGUUUUUAGCUCAACUAAAGACAAAGUUCUACAACACCACUAUAACCCUUUAUAGCUUCUAGAUCUUGAUCUAAGGCCCUGGGAAUGAUACUCCUACCUAAAAAGAGUUUCCCACCAAGACUACCUGUUUAUUUCCAAUUUGUAUCUCAUUUAAUCUAUUGUGCUAUCAAAUGCAAGGACAUUUUUCUAGAUGCAGAUAACUCCUGGAUUCAAAUACCUGAUAAUUAAAGGAUCUUUUGAUAUUUUGGCAGUUACUCUCACUAAAAGAAGUUACAUUCAGCAGAUUAGAAUGAUUCAUGAGAAAUUCUUGGUUAGUAAAUAUUUAAUCCAGAUUUUAUAAUUGCCUAAAUCUCUUUAUAGGUUAUUUCUUGCAAUAUUUCAAGAUCCUGAGUCAGCCAUGCUUAUACAAGCAAACUUUUAUUUACUGUGUUUCUUUGUGCAUCUCUGGUGUCUAUUAACAUAGUACCUGAAUGAGACAGUUUAAAUUCAAAGGAAGUUUUUGCCUGAAGGAGAACAGAAGAAUUGGGCUCAAUGGGAAUUCUAUAUGAGUAUCUGAGGGCAGAAUUUAGGCUACUGGAAGGGCAGUUAGUAGCUAGGGAUUUAAACCACUACAACAAAGUUUUAAGGAAGAAAAGAGGUGGCAAUAUUAUUGGGGCUUUUUUGUUCCCUUACUUUCCCCAAGUAGAAUUAUUUUGAAAAAACAAAAAACUUAAUUGCACAGAGUAUUCUCAAAUUAUGUCAUCCUGAAAUCUGUCUUGAAUGUCAUUCAGAUUCUCUAUAGUACAGCUUUUAUAGAUUUAACUGAUACCAAAUCUUUCAGCCUUGCAGAAGUAAUAUGAAAAUAUAAGGAAAACAACUCCUCUAUUCGUAGCAUAUGUCUAAAUACUUUAUUAUAAAAAUGUCAUAUUUAAGUUUAAGAGCCAAUAAUUUAUAUAGUAAAAUUCCUAGUAUUUUUCAGCAGAAAAAAGAAAUAUAACACACACUUAUUUCCCCAGCAUUAAAUUAGCAUGUUUCAGCCUUAAUAUUCUCAUAUUUGUAUUCUUUUAACUACAGAAAUCAUACAUGUAGUUUUAUAUUUUUUAAAGGCAAAGAGUGGGGAAUAAAACAAUGUUCUUUUUGACAUCUGUAGAUUGUUCUGUUUCCUUCUUUUCCUGUCCACAAAGCCACCACUGUAAGUCUGACCAGUAUCGUUCCAACGACUUCUACGUGUACAGAUAUAUAUGUAUACACACAGUAGUACAUAGCAUUGUGUGAUAUAUAUAUGAAGUAGUCUUUACCACAUCAAAAGACAAAGUGAAAGAAAUUACAAAUUUAAAAUCCAGAAUGUAAACUAAAAAUUCUAGAUUCAGACUUCAGUGGAAGGAAGAAAUAAUCUCUCUUGUUUAAUAGCAAUAGAUUCUGUGCCCUAGGGAAGGGAAGCUCCUUAGGGCACAUAGCUAAUUAGUGAAAGAGUUCUAGUGGGACAAGAUCUCUUAUUUUCUAGUGCAAUGCAUUUUCCAUAGCAACAGGCCAAUAAUCGCUAAGUCACGUAUCACAUACUAUACUAUAUUUCUUUUCGUGUGUGUGUGUGUGUGCGUGUGUGCACGUACACAUGCAAGUGAUGUGUGAGUAGAGAAAUCACAUAUUGGAUUACUUAAGUUAAAAAAGAAAAUAUGUGACAUUCUGUUCAAUGUAAAAAAACAAAUAACGAACAUAUACCAUGCAGUAGGCAUUAUGCCAGCCAGUGUAAGAGCAAAGAAAAUCAAAGGAGAAAAAAAAAUGUCUAUUCUCAUUGGGCUUAUAGUUUAACGGAACAAGAUUGAAAAACACAGCCACAAUGAUUGUGAGUGUGUGUUUUAGUGUGUAAAAAAUAUUAAUUUAGUUAAAAGUUACACAAGACCCCAGAGACAAGGCAACUGUUUCCAUACCUAUGUAUGUUUUCUAUGGCUACUUCUUCCAAAUAUGGCCUCUACCAACACACAUUGCCCAAUAAAGUAGGGAACUUACUAUGGGAAAAGGAGCUGU
rnacentral:lncRNA from 10 species